GGGCGUAAGCGCACGCAGGCGGUUUGUUAAGCUAGAUGUGAAAGCCCCGGGCUCAACCUGGGACGGUCAUUUAGAACUGGCAGACUAGAGUCUUGGAGAGGGGAGUGGAAUUCCAGGUGUAGCGGUGAAAUGCGUAGAUAUCUGGAGGAACAUCAGUGGCGAAGGCGACUCCCUGGCCAAAGACUGACGCUCAUGUGCGAAAGUGUGGGUAGCGAACAGGAUUAGAUACCCUGGUAGUCCACACCGUAAACGCUGUCUACUAGCUGUUUGUGACUUUAAGUCGUGAGUAGCGAAGCUAACGCGAUAAGUAGACCGCCUGGGGAGUACGGCCGCAAGGUUAAAACUCAAAUGAAUUGACGGGGGCCCGCACAAGCGGUGGAGCAUGUGGUUUAAUUCGAUGCAACGCGAAGAACCUUACCUACACUUGACAUGUUGAGAAGUUAC
rnacentral:rRNA from 1 species